UACGUAGGGUGCAAGCGUUGUCCGGAAUUAUUGGGCGUAAAGAGCUCGUAGGCGGUUUGUCGCGUCUGCUGUGAAAACCCGAGGCUCAACCUCGGGCCUGCAGUGGGUACGGGCAGACUAGAGUGCGGUAGGGGAGAUUGGAAUUCCUGGUGUAGCGGUGGAAUGCGCAGAUAUCAGGAGGAACACCUAUUGCGAAGGCAGCUCGCUGGGACGUUACUGACGCUGAGACGCGAAAGCGUGGGGAGCAAACAGG
rnacentral:rRNA from 1 species